rnacentral:rRNA from 1 species
AUCCGGAUCGAGGACCGUGUGUGGUGGGUAGUUUGACUGGGGCGGUCUCCUCCCAAAGCGUAACGGAGGAGCACGAAGGUACCCUCAGCACGGUUGGAAAUCGUGCAUUGAGUGCAAGAGCAUAAGGGUGCUUGACUGCGAGACAGACACGUCGAGCAGGUACGAAAGUAGGUUCUAGUGAUCCGGUGGUUCUGUAUGGAAGGGCCAUCGCUCAACGGAUAAAAGGUACUCCGGGGAUAACAGGCUGAUACCGCCCAAGAGUUCACAUCGACGGCGGUGUUUGGCACCUCGAUGUCGGCUCAUCACAUCCUGGGGCUGAAGUCGGUCCCAAGGGUAUGGCUGUUCGCCAUUUAAAGUGGUACGCGAGCUGGGUUUAGAACGUCGUGAGACAGUUCGGUCCCUAUCUGCCGUGGGCGUUGGAAGUUUGAGAAGAGCUGCUCCUAGUACGAGAGGACCGGAGUGGACGCACCUCUGGUGUUCCGGUUGUCACGCCAGUGGCAUUGCCGGGUAGCUAUGUGCGGACAGGAUAACCGCUGAAAGCAUCUAAGCGGGAAGCCCCCUUCAAGAUGAGACUUCCCUGAGGCCU